rnacentral:lncRNA from 1 species
GGGACAGAGAAAGAUGGUUCCCUAGGGGACAGAGAAAAAGGGAUUCCCCAGGGGACAGAGAAAGAGGGGUUCCCCAGGGGACAGAGAACGAGGGGUUCCCCAGGACAGAGGGAUCCCCAGGGGACAGAGAAAGAGGGGUUCCCCAGGGGACAGAGAAAGAGGGGUUCCCCAGGACAGAGGGAUCCCCAGGGGACAGAGAAAGAGGGGUUCCCCAGGGGACAGAGAAAGAGGGGUUCCCCAGGGGACAGAGAAAGAGGGGUUCCCCAGGGGACAGAGAAAGAGGGUUCCCUAGGGGACAGAGAAAGAUGGUUCCCUAGGGGACAGAGAAAAAGGGAUUCCCCAGGGGACAGAGAAAGAGGGGUUCCCCAGGGGACAGAGAACGAGGGGUUCCCCAGGACAGAGGGAUCCCCAGGGGACAGAGAAAGAGGGGUUCCCCAGGACAGAGGGAUCCCCAGGGGACAGAGAAACAGGGGUUCCCCAGGGGACAGAGAAAGAGGGGUUCCCCAGGGGACAGAGAAAGAGGGGUUCCCCAGGGGACAGAGAAAGAGGGGUUCCCCAGGACAGAGAAAAAGGGGUUCCCCAGGGGACAGAGAAAGAGGGUUCCCCAGGGGACAGAGAAAGAGGGAUCCCCAGGGGACAGAGAAAGAGGGGUUCCCCAGGACAGAGGGAUCCCCAGGGGACAGAGAAAGAGGGGUCCCCCAGGACAGGCUCUCCCACACAGCACAGGGUUUCCUUGAAUAGUUAUGUUUUGUCCCUGGGGCCCCAGGGAGUUUGUAGUUUGUAGAAAUGUUCUGUCCAUGUGGCAUUCGAGAAGUCAAGUCCCCCCCAGGGCAGUAGAGGGUUCCAUUGCUCCUUGGGCAGUAGGUCUCUCUCAGUGCAGUAGUAUGGCAGUAGUCCUCAGAGUUCUGUUACCCCCUGGGGUAGUAGAGUUCCAUUGUUCCCCAGGGGCAUUAAUAGUCCAGUAGAGUUUCAGGGUUUCUUGUCGAUAGUGUGGAAGAACCAUUCAGUAAACUUCCUGAGUUGAGCGGCUGAUGUCUGACUCUCCUCCUGUAGUCUCAUGUUGUCUUGUCUCAGGUGCUGCACCUCUACCUGCAGCAACACCUUGUCCUCCUUCUCCUGGUAGAGAGAGAGAGAACAUAUCAUAUUAACACUGACCUCUAACCACUGACCCCUAACCCUGACCCAAACCCU